UACGUAGGGUGCAAGCGUUGUCCGGAAUUAUUGGGCGUAAAGCGCUCGUAGGCGGUUUGUCGCGUCUGCUGUGAAAACCCGAGGCUCAACCUCGGGCCUGCAGUGGGUACGGGCAGACUAGAGUGCGGUAGGGGAGACUGGAAUUCCUGGUGUAGCGGUGAAAUGCGCAGAUAUCAGGAGGAACACCGAUGGCGAAGGCAGGUCUCUGGGCCGAUACUGACGCUGAGGAGCGAAAGCGUGGGGAGCGAACAGG
rnacentral:rRNA from 1 species